rnacentral:rRNA from 1 species
CGGAUUGAAGGCUGAAAUUCGCCUUCAUGAAGCCGGAAUUGCUAGUAAUGGCAGGUCAGCAUACUGCCGUGAAUACGUUCCCGGGCCUUGUACACACCGCCCGUCACACCAUGAGAGUUGGGAAUACCCGAAGCCUGUGAGCUAACUUUUAGAGGCAGCAGUCGAAGGUAGAAUCAAUGAUUGGGGUGAAGUCGUAACAAGGUAGC